UAUAUCAAAAACUCUGUAUAGUGAAGUCAGGAGUUUCAAUUCUUAUAAAGAUAUUUUCAACGAAACAUGGAAUUCAUCCUAGCCAUGGAUGAGAAUAGUCAAAAGAUGUUUUUUAGCGAACGUCUUCAAGAGAUUUAUCAGUGACGUUUUCGACACUAGUGAAUGUAAUUUUAAUAUCAAUGCAAGUAAAGAAAGAAAAAAUACAGUAAGUUACUAAUCUGGUUCAAGAGAUAUAUGUCUUGAAUCUCUGCCAACAUGUCUUUUUCUUAUAAGUGCUAAUAUAUAUGUUUCUUCGUCUUCUGAGACGAGCCUCAUCAUCUUAGAUUCAAGAGAUAUUCUUAGUGACGUCUUGAAUAAACUUUAGAAGAGCAACGUGCGAAGAUCCACCGUCCAUUAAAGCUACGUGACUCUUCUCGCUCAUCUCCUUCACUCUACUCCUCACGUCACUAUCCUGCUCCAUCAAACACCGGAUCCCUCUCUCUAUCUCCUCUGCCGUCAUCAACUCAUCAUCCGCCGCCAUGAAAUCUCCUCGGAAACUAUUUCGGACCUCCACCGCUAGCCCUAGCUCCUCAACCAUCUCGAACGCGUUAACUUGUUGCUCUGCGUAAAGCGGCCACGUAGCCAUCGGAACUCCGAACCAUAGACUCUCUAGCGUCGAGUUCCAUCCACAAUGCGACACGAACCCUCCGAUCGCAGGAUUUGCUAGAAUGGCGCUUUGUGGAGCCCAACCUACAAUCUUUCCUAUCUCUGCCGUCCGUUCCAAGAAUCCUUCCGGGAGAAUUUCCUCAAGAUUCGUAAAUUCUUCGGGAGGUCCUAUCGAUCCUUUUGGUUGAGCACGACGAAGAGACCAGACAAAGCGGUGACCACUUCGCUCAAGCGCGAUUGCGAUUUCUUUAGCUUGGCCCUCACGGAAACCUCCCAUGCUUCCGAAACAGAGGAAAACAACGGAUUUACGUGGCUGCUCGUCUAGCCACCGUAGGAUCUCCGAUUGCUUAUCGUCAGAUGAAUUUGGACCGUUGAUUUUAAGAUUCAUAACCGGUCCAACUGUGUACACCGUAGGCAGAGGACUAUCUACGCCGGAGAAAAACUUCAUAGCUUGAGGCUCAAGCUCAGCGAAUGUAUUUACCAAAAUACCUUUAGUUUCUCGGAAUCUUCUGGUUUGUCUAAACAUAACCGGUAACCACUCCUUGGUUAAUAGAACCGAGGGGAAACACUUAACCGGUAAAGGACGAGUCAAACAAGGAACUUCCAGCUCAGUAGUGUCCGAGUCCUUGAGGUCACUAACGUCAUAGUUCUUAACGUCGUAAAGGUAUUCAACAUGAACUUGCAAUCCAAGAAACGUUGCGUUGGAUGUGUAAAACAUGUAACUGGGAACACCAAACUCAUUAGCGACAUCAAUCAUCAUCAUGCAAAACAUAUCCACCACGAAUCCAGCAAGACGCGACGGCGAAUCUGGUGGACCCGGGUCAGUAAGUUUUUCCACCGUGGCUUUGACCUGCGGCUUGAAGUUAUCAAUGUAGUCGAAAAAAUGUGGUUUGGUGUCAUCGGAGUCUGGUUUAUCAGGGACGGAGAGAACGUUGUAGCUAAGACGUUCUUCAGAAUCAGAGGAGAGAGAAGCGAUGUAAGAAGAAGAGUUACUGCUACUAAAUCCAUGCAUCUGAGGGAUGAUGAUGAUGGUGAUGGAGAGAUGGUCGUCACGGUCAACAUGAAGCUUAGCUACCUCCACUAAUGGCCGGAGAUGUCCGUCACCAGGUGAUGGUAUGAACACCAGCUCCAGUUUCAUUUUUCAAAAUAUUUAUAUUUUUGUAGCAAUUGAGAAUUGGUUUCUCCUAUUGAAGGUUGAAGAUGUUUCGGUGAAGAGAUAAGAUUCGUCUUUAGCAUACAUGACAUGUGGUACUUGGACAUCUACUGAUGUUAGUUUAACUUUUGUCACAGGCCAUACAAUCUUGAUCUUCAGACUUCAACGUUAAUAUCAAGCAUGUGGUGGGAUGCAUAAUAGACAAGAGUCACAAGACACGACGCAGAACAAACAGACUCUCUUUUUGGUCCACAUAUAUAAUGACCUAUCCAAGAAACGUACUCCACUCUUCCACCUUCUCGGUUACUGAUGCGAAAGUAGCAAACAAAUAUUUCACAUUUUUCCAAAAAGUGUUUUUAAAAAGUCACCUAAUAUGAUAACUCAUAAAAUUUUCGUUUUGGUCCGUGAUUGAACCAAGCUAUAAGUCUAUUAUAACAUUCUCAAAAUGUAAAUUAGUAUUUCUAAGAAACCAUGAUGUAGUUGUUUUUUCUUUUUGUGGGGUGAUGUCAGCAUUGGACUUAAGGUGAGUUCAAGAUUUAGUAUGCAACUAAAGCACUUUCAAGUCGUGAAC
rnacentral:lncRNA from 1 species